rnacentral:rRNA from 1 species
AUGAACGCUGGCGGCGUGCCUAAUACCUGCAAGUCGAGCGAACAGACGAGGAGCUUGCUCCUCUGACGUUAGCGGCGGACGGGUGAGUAACACGUGGAUAACCUACCUAUAAGACUGGGAUAACUUCGGGAAACCGGAGCUAAUACCGGAUAAUAUAUUGAACCGCAUGGUUCAAUAGUGAAAGACGGUUUUGCUGUCACUUAUAAAUGGAUCCGCGCCGCAUUAGCUAGUUGGUAAGGUAACGGCUUACCAAGGCAACGAUGCGUAGCCGACCUGAGAGGGUGAUCGGCCACACUGGAACUGAGACACGGUCCAGACUCCUACGGGAGGCAGCAGUAGGGAAUCUUCCGCAAUGGGCGAAAGCCUGACGGAGCAACGCCGCGUGAGUGAUGAAGGUCUUCGGAUCGUAAAACUCUGUUAUUAGGGAAGAACAAAUGUGUAAGUAACUAUGCACGUCUUGACGGUACCUAAUCAGAAAGCCACGGCUAACUACGUG